rnacentral:rRNA from 1 species
GACGAACGCUGGCGGCGUGCUUAAUACAUGCAAGUCGAACGGAAAGGCCCUGCUUUUGUGGGGUGCUCGAGUGGCGAACGGGUGAGUAACACGUGAGUAACCUGCCCUUGACUUUGGGAUAACUUCAGGAAACUGGGGCUAAUACCGGAUAGGAGCUCCUGCUGCAUGGUGUGGGUUGGAAAGUUUCGGCGGUUGGGGAUGGACUCGCGGCUUAUCAGCUUGUUGGUGGGGUAGUGGCUUACCAAGGCUUUGACGGGUAGCCGGCCUGAGAGGGUGACCGGCCACAUUGGGACUGAGAUACGGCCCAGACUCCUACGGGAGGCAGCAGUGGGGAAUAUUGCACAAUGGGCGGAAGCCUGAUGCAGCAACGCCGCGUGCGGGAUGACGGCCUUCGGGUUGUAAACCGCUUUCGCCUGUGACGAAGCGUGAGUGACGGUAAUGGGUAAAGAAGCACCGGCUAACUACGUG